rnacentral:ncRNA from 1 species
UGAUAGCUAUGAAGCGUGAGGUUGCUGCGGGAUAUCCGCAGGUUUUCCGUGGAGCGAAUGUCAAGUUAGAAAACUGGCGGCAA